AGAGUUUGAUCCUGGCUUAGGACGAACGCUGGCGGCGUGCUUAACACAUGCAAGUCGAACGGAAAGGCCCUGCUUUGUGGGGGUGCUCGAGUGGCGAACGGGUGAGUAACACGUGAGUAACCUGCCCUUGACUUUGGGAUAACUUCAGGAAACUGGGGCUAAUACCGGAUAGGAGCUCCUGCUGCAUGGUGGGGGUUGGAAAGUUUCGGCGGUUGGGGAUGGACUCGCGGCUUAUCAGCUUGUUGGUGGGGUAGUGGCUUACCAAGGCUUUGACGGGUAGCCGGCCUGAGAGGGUGACCGGCCACAUUGGGACUGAGAUACGGCCCAGACUCCUACGGGAGGCAGCAGUGGGGAAUAUUGCACAAUGGGCGGAAGCCUGAUGCAAGCAACGCCGCGUGCGGGAUGACGGCCUUCGGGUUGUAAACCGCUUUCGCCUGUGACGAAGCGUGAGUGACGGUAAUGGGUAAAGAAGCACCGGCUAACUACGUGCCAGCAGCGGC
rnacentral:rRNA from 1 species